rnacentral:rRNA from 1 species
GGUGUGGGGGACAUUCCACGUUUUCCGCGCCGUAGCUAACGCAUUAAGUGCCCCGCCUGGGGAGUACGGCCGCAAGGCUAAAACUCAAAGGAAUUGACGGGGGCCCGCACAAGCGGCGGAGCAUGCGGAUUAAUUCGAUGCAACGCGAAGAACCUUACCAAGGCUUGACAUGGACCGGACCGCCGCAGAAAUGUGGUUUCCCCUUUGGGGCCGGUUCACAGGUGGUGCAUGGUUGUCGUCAGCUCGUGUCGUGAGAUGUUGGGUUAAGUCCCGCAACGAGCGCAACCCUCGUUCCAUGUUGCCAGCGCGUAAUGGCGGGGACUCAUGGGAGACUGCCGGGG